rnacentral:rRNA from 1 species
CCGCCCGUCACAUCACGAAAGUGGAUUGUACUAGAAGUCUGCGCGCUAACCCGCAAGGGGGCAGCGGCCCAAGGUAUGAUUCAUGAUUGGGGUG